GUGAGUCAUCGAAUCUUUGAACGCACCUUGCACCCUUUGGACUGCUCCAAAGGGUAUGCUCGUUUGAGUGUCAUUGUACUCUCACACUCUCUGAUCCUUUGGAUUUGGGGAGCGGUGGACUUGGGUGCUUGCUGCUUCCUUGUGGCUCACCUGAAAUGCAUCAGUGCAUCUCUUGAUUGGACAUAGUACGGCGUGAUAAGUGUCUUCGCCGGCACCUCAUAAGAGGGUGGCCGAUCGGGAGCUCUGGGCUUUCAAACCGUCUUCGGACAACCCCUGACAACUUGACCUCAAAUCGAGUAGGACUACCCGCUGAACUUAAGCAUAUCAAUAAGCGGAGG
rnacentral:rRNA from 2 species